rnacentral:rRNA from 1 species
UGCAGUCGACGGCAGCACAGAGGAGCUUGCUCCUUGGGUGGCGAGUGGCGGACGGGUGAGGAAAACGUCGGAAUCUGCCUAUUUGUGGGGGAUAACGUAGGGAAACUUACGCUAAUACCGCAUACGACCUACGGGUGAAAGCGGAGGACCUUCGGGCUUCGCGCAGAUAGAUGAGCCGACGUCGGAUUAGCUAGUUGGGGGGGUAAAGGCCCACCAAGGCGACGAUCCGUAGCUGGUCUGAGAGGAUGAUCAGCCACACUGGAACUGAGACACGGUCCAGACUCCUACGGGAGGCAGCAGUGGGGAAUAUUGGACAAUGGGCGCAAGCCUGAUCCAGCCAUGCCGCGUGUGUGAAGAAGGCCUUCGGGUUGUAAAGCACUUUUGUCCGGAAAGAAAAGCACUGGGUUAAUACCCUGGUGUCAUGACGGUACCGGAAGAAUAAGCACCGGCUAACUUCGUGCCAGCAGCCGCGGUAAUACGAAGGGUGCAAGCGUUACUCGGAAUUACUGGGCGUAAAGCGUGCGUAGGCGGUUUGUUAAGUCUGAUGUGAAAGCCCUGGGCUCAACCUGGGAAUGGCAUUGGAUACUGGCAAUCUAGAAUGUGGUAGAGGGUGGCGGAAUUCCCGGUGUAGCAGUGAAAUGCGUAGAUAUCGGGAGGAACAUCCGUGGCGAAGGCGGCCACCUGGACCAACAUUGACGCUGAGGCACGAAAGCGUGG